AAGGAGAGGAGGAGGAGGAGGAUGAAGUUUCUUCCAGCUGUUUUUGUAAUAGACGAAGAGUUGUAAGAGUUGUGGAGAGAGAGAGGGAAAUAGUGAGCGAGCAAGAAGGGGUAGGCGAAACUAAUCAUCUUACAUACGGAGUAUUAAGGAAACCACGAGGAGAGUAAAGGAGGGAUGGGGAGACUUGGAUAGCAACAGCAGAAAGGAGCAAGAGAAAUUUGACCAACGGUGGAAUGAGCAUUAGGAUGGAACAGCCCUGCUGACAGAAGAGGAGAGAAAGACAUACCGAAAAAUGUCGACGCUCCCUAGAGAACCCCACGAGGACUCCAGGAUGCAGAGCUUCUGGAUGCCAGGGAACUAUGAGCGAACCGUCCGACGCACUGACCAGUCCUUCCAUGCAUGUAAAGAUAUCAUGGCCUGUUUCAAUGAGAGGGCCAACGUAGAGAAGCAGUACGCCCAGCAGCUCAGUGA